GCAGCUUGCUGCGGGUACUCGAGUGGCGAACGGGUGAGUAACACGUGGGUGAUCUGCCUUGCACUUCGGGAUAAGCUUGGGAAACUGGGUCUAAUACCGGAUAGGACAGCUGUUUAGUGUCAGUUGUGGAAAGUUUUUUCGGUGCAAGAUGAGCUCGCGGCCUAUCAGCUUGUUGGUGGGGUAAUGGCCUACCAAGGCGUCGACGGGUAGCCGGCCUGAGAGGGUGUACGGCCACAUUGGGACUGAGAUACGGCCCAGACUCCUACGGGAGGCAGCAGUGGGGAAUAUUGCACAAUGGGCGGAAGCCUGAUGCAGCGACGCCGCGUGGGGGAUGAAGGCCUUCGGGUUGUAAACUCCUUUCGACAGGGACGAAGCGUAAGUGACGGUACCUGUAUAAGAAGCACCGGCUAACUACGUGCCAGCAGCCGCGGUAAUACGUAGGGUGCGAGCGUUGUCCGGAAUUACUGGGCGUAAAGAGCUCGUAGGUGGUUUGUCGCGUCGUCUGUGAAAUUCCGGGGCUUAACUCCGGGCGUGCAGGCGAUACGGGCUGACUUGAGUGCUGUAGGGGAGACUGGAAUUCCUGGUGUAGCGGUGAAAUGCGCAGAUAUCAGGAGGAACACCGAUGGCGAAGGCAGGUCUCUGGGCAGUAACUGACGCUGAGGAGCGAAAGCAUGGGUAGCGAACAGGAUUAGAUACCCUGGUAGUCCAUGCCGUAAACGGUGGGCGCUAGGUGUAGGGGGCUUCCACGUCUUCUGUGCCGUAGCUAACGCAUUAAGCGCCCCGCCUGGGGAGUACGCCGCAAGGC
rnacentral:rRNA from 1 species